AUUGAACGCUGGCGGCAUGCUUUACACAUGCAAGUCGAACGGCAGCACGGGUGCUUGCACCUGGUGGCGAGUGGCGAACGGGUGAGUAAUGCAUCGGAACGUGCCCAUGAGUGGGGGAUAGCCCGGCGAAAGCCGGAUUAAUACCGCAUACGCCCUUAGGGGGAAAGCGGGGGAUCUUCGGACCUCGCGCUAUUGGAGCGGCCGAUGUCGGAUUAGCUAGUAGGUGAGGUAAAGGCUCACCUAGGCGACGAUCCGUAGCUGGUCUGAGAGGAUGAUCAGCCACACUGGGACUGAGACACGGCCCAGACUCCUACGGGAGGCAGCAGUGGGGAAUUUUGGACAAUGGGCGCAAGCCUGAUCCAGCCAUGCCGCGUGAGUGAAGAAGGCCUCGGUUGUAAGACGUCUUUCUAGUGGAAGAAAGACGGA
rnacentral:rRNA from 1 species